UAAAUAUCAAACAGGUAAUAAUGGCUAGGUAACAAUGACAGAAACCAGUCAACAACUUACCGUUUGAAUAUUAUUAAUUUUAGCAUUUAAAUCAGCUGAUAGGAUUAUCUUGAUUAUGCUCAUUGUCAUGUAUUUGUUUACACUUAAAAUUCAGAUAAGUCUUAAUAUCAUUUAAAAGUGUACUUGGGUUUUGUUGGGGUUUUUUUGUUUGUUUGUUUUAUUGUGGAUUUUAAUAGAACAUCUAGUAACUUUCUCUUGUUUAUUUUAGGUUGAUACCGUAAAGCGCUUGCUGAUUAAAAAGUUACCUCCUGUUCUUGCUAUACAACUAAAGCGAUUUGACUAUGACUGGGAAAGAGAAUGUGCAAUCAAGUUCAAUGAUUAUUUUGAAUUUCCUCGAGAGCUGGACAUGGAACCUUACACAGUUGCAGGUGUCGCAAAGCUGGAAGGGGAUAAUGUAAACCCAGAGAGUCAGUUGAUACAACAGAGUGAGCAGUCUGAAAGUGAGACAGCAGGAAGCACAAAAUACAGACUUGUGGGUGUGCUUGUACACAGUGGUCAAGCGAGUGGGGGGCAUUACUAUUCUUAUAUCAUCCAAAGGAAUGGUGGAGAUGGUGAGAGAAAUCGCUGGUAUAAAUUUGAUGAUGGUGAUGUAACAGAAUGUAAAAUGGAUGAUGACGAAGAAAUGAAAAACCAGUGUUUUGGUGGAGAGUACAUGGGAGAAGUGUUUGAUCACAUGAUGAAGCGCAUGUCAUACAGGCGCCAGAAAAGGUGGUGGAAUGCUUAUAUACUUUUUUACGAACGAAUGGACACAAUAGACCAAGAUGAUGAGUUGAUAAGAUACAUAUCAGAGCUUGCUAUCACCACCAGACCUCAUCAGAUUAUUAUGCCAUCAGCCAUUGAGAGAAGUGUACGGAAACAGAAUGUACAAUUCAUGCAUAACCGAAUGCAGUACAGUAUGGAGUAUUUUCAGUUUAUGAAAAAACUGCUUACAUGUAAUGGCGUUUACUUAAACCCUCCUCCCGGGCAAGAUCACCUGUUGCCUGAAGCAGAAGAAAUCACUAUGAUCAGUAUUCAACUUGCUGCUAGGUUCCUCUUUACUACAGGAUUUCACACAAAGAAAGUAGUCCGUGGCUCUGCCAGUGAUUGGUAUGAUGCAUUGUGUAUUCUCCUUCGUCACAGCAAGAAUGUACGUUUUUGGUUUGCUCAUAACGUCCUUUUUAAUGUUUCAAAUCGUUUCUCCGAAUACCUUCUGGAGUGCCCUAGUGCAGAAGUGAGGGGUGCGUUUGCAAAACUUAUAGUCUUUAUUGCACAUUUUUCCUUGCAAGAUGGGCCAUGUCCUUCACCUUUUGCCUCUCCUGGACCUUCUAGUCAGGCUUAUGAUAACUUAAGCUUGAGUGACCACUUAUUAAGAGCCACACUAAAUCUCUUGAGAAGGGAAGUGUCAGAGCAUGGACGUCAUUUACAGCAAUAUUUUAAUUUGUUUGUAAUGUAUGCCAAUUUAGGUGUGGCAGAGAAGACACAGCUUCUGAAAUUGAGUGUACCUGCUACCUUUAUGCUUGUGUCUUUAGAUGAAGGUCCAGGUCCUCCAAUCAAAUAUCAGUAUGCUGAAUUAGGCAAAUUAUACUCAGUAGUGUCACAGCUGAUCCGCUGUUGCAAUGUCUCUUCAAGAAUGCAGUCUUCAAUCAAUGGUAAAUUUGAAUGCUCCAUUCUUUACAGUAGUCUUUUGUUGUUGUUGUUGUUGUUGUUGUUGUUGUUGUUGUUUGAGACGGAGUUUUGCUGUUGUUGCCCAGGCUGGAGUGCAAUGGCAUGAUCUCGGCUCACUGCAACCUCCACCUCCCCGGUUCAAGCCAUUCUCCUGCCUUGGCCUCCCAAGUAGCUGGGAUUACAGGCACCCACCACCACGCCCGGCUAAUUUUGUAUUUUUGGCAGAGACAGGGUUUCACCAUGUUGGUCAGGCUGGUCUCAAACUCCUGACCUCAGAUGAUCUGCCCACCUGGGCCUCCCAAAGUGCUGGGAUUACAGGUGUGUGCCACCAUGCCCGGCCCUCUUUACAGUAGUUUUUAAAUACUGCUGAGCAUAUAUAGUACUAAGAGUCUGGAGGAAGAUUUUUGCUUUGGAGUAUUUUAGCCCUGUACCUUUUUUAUGUAUUUAAUGGGGAUCUUUUUUCUCUCUCCUUGUGACUGAGGUUGAUAUCAUGUUUAUGAAAUAGUUUAAGAAUUAACUUUUUAGGCUGGGCUCAGUGGUUCAUGCCUGUAAUCCCUACGCUUUGGGGGAAGCCAAGGCAGGAGGAUCACAACAACAAAAAAGUUGGCUGGGUGUGGUGGUGUGCACCUAUAGUCCCAGCUACUCAGGAGACUGAAGUGGGAGAAUCACUUCAGCCCAGGAGAAGGCUGCAGUGAGCUAUGGUCACACCACUGCACUCCAGCCUAGGUGACAGAGAGAGACCCUGUGUCCAAAAAAAAAAAAAUUUAUGUUUAGAUUUUGCAUUUUUACAUCUUGGUAUAUCUAUCUGAUCAUUAUAAUGCAUAAUGUUACUUUCUUUGUUGUGCUUAGGAAACUUGAUUUAAAAUGUUAUUUUUCUAAAAUAAAACAUUUGGCCAGGCAUGGUGGCUAAUGCCUGUAAUCCCAGCAUUUUGGGAGGCCGAGGCGGGUGGAUCACUUGAGGUCAAGAGUUCAAGACCAGCCUGGCAAACAUGGCGAAACUGCAUCUCUACAAAAAUACAAAAAAAUUAGCCAGGCGUGGUGGCAUGCACCUGUAGUCCCAGCUACUCAGAAGGCUGAGGCAGGAGAAUCGCUUGAACAUGGGAGGUGGAUGUUGCAGUGAGCUGAGAUCGCGCCAUUGCACUCCA
ensembl:lincRNA